rnacentral:rRNA from 1 species
AUACGGAGGGUGCAAGCGUUACUCGGAAUCACUGGGCGUAAAGCGCGCGCAGGCGGUCUUUUAAGUUGGAUGUGAAAGCCUACGGCUCAACCGUAGAACUGCAUCCAAAACUAUUAGACUAGAGUGUGGGAGAGGAAGAUGGAAUUAGUUGUGUAGGGGUAAAAUCCGUAGAGAUAACUAGGAAUACCAAAAGCGAAGGCAAUCUUCUGGAACACUACUGACGCUGAGGCGCGAAAGCGUGGGGAGCAGACAGGAUUAGAAACCCUAGUAGUCC